rnacentral:rRNA from 1 species
AGUGAACGCUGGCGGUAGGCCUAACACAUGCAAGUCGAACGGCAGCACAGUAAGAGCUUGCUCUUACGGGUGGCGAGUGGCGGACGGGUGAGGAAUACAUCGGAAUCUACUUUUUCGUGGGGGAUAACGUAGGGAAACUUACGCUAAUACCGCAUACGACCUACGGGUGAAAGCAGGGGAUCUUCGGACCUUGCGCGAUUGAAUGAGCCGAUGUCGGAUUAGCUAGUUGGCGGGGUAAAGGCCCACCAAGGCGACGAUCCGUAGCUGGUCUGAGAGGAUGAUCAGCCACACUGGAACUGAGACACGGCCCAGACGCCUACGGGAGGCAGCAGUGGGGAAUAUUGGACAAUGGGCGCAAGCCUGAUCCAGCCAUACCGCGUGGGUGAAGAAGGCCUUCGGGUUGUAAAGCCCUUUUGUUGGGAAAGAAAAGCAGCAGGUUAAUACCCCGCUGUUCUGACGGUACCCAAAGAAUAAGCACCGGCUAACUUCGU